GACGAACGCUGGCGGCGUGCUUAACACAUGCAAGUCGAACGGAAAGGCCCUGCUUUUGUGGGGUGCUCGAGUGGCGAACGGGUGAGUAACACGUGAGUAACCUGCCCUUGACUUUGGGAUAACUUCAGGAAACUGGGGCUAAUACCGGAUAGGAGCUCCUGCUGCAUGGUGGGGGUUGGAAAGUUUCGGCGGUUGGGGAUGGACUCGCGGCUUAUCAGCUUGUUGGUGGGGUAGUGGCUUACCAAGGCUUUGACGGGUAGCCGGCCUGAGAGGGUGACCGGCCACAUUGGGACUGAGAUACGGCCCAGACUCCUACGGGAGGCAGCAGUGGGGAAUAUUGCACAAUGGGCAGAAGCAUGAUGCAGCAACGCCGCGUGCGGGAUGACGGCCUUCGGGUUGUAAACCGCUUUCGCCUGUGACGAAGCGUGAGUGACGGUAAUGGGUAAAGAAGCACCGGCUAACUACGU
rnacentral:rRNA from 1 species